ensembl:lncRNA
GGGAGCAGGGUCAGGGAGGCAGGAAGCAGGGUCAGGGAGCAGGGAGGCAGGGAGCAGGGUCAGGGAGGCAGGGAGCAGGGUCAGGGAGCAGGGAGGCAGGGAGCAGGGUCAGGGAGCAGGGAGCAGUGAGGCAGGGAGCAGUAAGCAGGGAGGCAGGGAGCAGGGAGGCAGGGAGCAGGGAGCAGGGAGGCAGGGAGCAGGGAGGCAGGGAACAGGGUCAGGGAGCAGGGAGCAGUGAGGCAGGGAGCAGUAAACAGGGACGUAGGGAGGCAGGGAGGCAGGGAGCAGGGAGGCAGGGAGCAGGGAGGCAGGGAGCAGGGAGGCAGGGAGCAGGGUCAGGGAGCAGUGAGGCAGGGAGCAGUAGGCAGGGAGCAGGGAGGCAUGGAGCAGAGAUGCAGGGAGCGGGGAGCAGGGUCAGAGAGCAGGGUCAGAGAGCAGGGUCAGAGAGCAGGGUCAGGGAGCAGGGUCAGAGAGCAGGGUUGGGGAACAGGGUCAGAGAGCAGGGUCAGAGAUCAGGGAGCAGGGUCAGAGAGCAGGGUCAGAGAGCAGGGUCGGGGAGCAGGGAGCAGGGUCAGAGAGCAGGGUCAGAGAGCAGGGUCAGAGAGCAGGGUCAGGGAGCAGGGUCAGCGAGCAGGGUCAGAGAGCAGGGUCAGGGAGCAGGGUCAGAGAGCAGGGUCAGAGAGCAGGGAGCAGGGUCAGAGAGCAGGGUCAGAGAG